AUAAUAAUUUAAAAUCAAUAAUAAUUGUUUACUCGUUUCUCAUCAUAAUAGUUUAACAUUAUUGUUGUUCCUGUCCUCAACUUUUUUAUACAAUUCAUCAUAUAUGCACUCGGUUGUUCGCAAUGGCAAUGCAUGUUUCAUCGAGUUUUAUAUGAAUUAGUAAUUUGAAUUAAACGAGAACAUAAUAAAAAUGCUUUCGAUUUAUUUUAGUCGCUUAUUGUUAUAAACGUAAAGUAUUUAAUUUUAUUUUCGCGAAAAUGUAUCUUUUUCAUGACUUUAUAAUUCGUAGUAAUUGCGAAUUAAUAAAAAUAAAAUGAUUUAAUAAACUUUGGAAAUAUUAAUGCAAACACAUUCAAGAGCCAUAUUUGUAUAUAACGUUGCUGCGUUAUUUUGAUGUAAAAGCUGGUAAUCAACAGACAAUCGGUUACUCCAUCCUCUUGACUAUUGCAAGAGUAAUGAGAAAACAAAUCUGCGAGGAUCUGCACUUGACACAAGCUCGUCACUGUCAUGGUGUAAAAGGUGCGCACAGCUCUCUAUUGAUGUUUAAAGAUAAAAACACCGAAUGCAAUGAUGCCCCGCCGCAAUGAUGAACUCUUGAGAGACUCCUUGAAAAAAAGGUGACAAAACAUGAGUUCGGUGGUAUCCCUUCCAAAAGAACACGAGGAGUUCUUUUAACAAUAAAACAUAAAUUAGGAAAAAAAAUUAGAUUAAUGGAAUUCAAUUCGCUCGAGUAACAAAAAAAAUAAUUAAAAAAACAUGUGCGACAAGCGAAAAGCUUGUAACGAUGGAAAUGUAAAAAACGUAUAACGUGUAUGCAAUUCAAUAAUAAUAAAAAAACCUUCAACUUAUGGUGUCUUACAAGGAAAA